rnacentral:rRNA from 1 species
GAUGAACGCUGGCGGCGUGCCUAAUACAUGCAAGUCGAGCGAACAGAUGAGGAGCUUGCUCCUCUGACGUUAGCGGCGGACGGGUGAGUAACACGUGGAUAACCUACCUAUAAGACUGGGAUAACUUCGGGAAACCGGAGCUAAUACCGGAUAAUAUAUUGAACCGCAUGGUUCAAUAGUGAAAGACGGUUUUGCUGUCACUUAUAGAUGGAUCCGCGCCGCAUUAGCUAGUUGGUAAGGUAACGGCUUACCAAGGCAACGAUGCGUAGCCGACCUGAGAGGGGGUACGGCCACACUGGAAAUGAGAAACGGUCCAAACCCCUAGGGGAGGAAGCAGGAGGGAAUCUUCCGAAAGGGGGGAAAGCCUGAGGGAGCAACGCCGGGGGGGGGAUGAAGGGUUGCGGAUCGAAAAACUUUGUUAUUGGGGAAGAAAAAAUGUGUAAGUAACUAGGCACGUCUGGACGGUACCUAACCAAAAAGCCACGGCUAACUACGU